UGACUGGGGCGGUCUCCUCCUAAAGAGUAACGGAGGAGCACGAAGGUUGGCUAAUCCUGGUCGGACAUCAGGAGGUUAGUGCAAUGGCAUAAGCCAGCUUGACUGCGAGCGUGACGGCGCGAGCAGGUGCGAAAGCAGGUCAUAGUGAUCCGGUGGUUCUGAAUGGAAGGGCCAUCGCUCAACGGAUAAAAGGUACUCCGGGGAUAACAGGCUGAUACCGCCCAAGAGUUCAUAUCGACGGCGGUGUUUGGCACCUCGAUGUCGGCUCAUCACAUCCUGGGGCUGAAGUAGGUCCCAAGGGUAUGGCUGUUCGCCAUUUAAAGUGGUACGCGAGCUGGGUUUAGAACGUCGUGAGACAGUUCGGUCCCUAUCUGCCGUGGGCGCUGGAGAACUGAGGGGGGCUGCUCCUAGUACGAGAGGACCGGAGUGGACGCAUCACUGGUGUUCGGGUUGUCAUGCCAAUGGCACUGCCCGGUAGCUAAAUGCGGAAGAGAUAAGUGCUGAAAGCAUCUAAGCACGAAACUUGCCCCGAGAUGAGUUCUCCCUGACUCCUUGAGAGUCCUGAAGGAACGUUGAAGACGACGACGUUGAUAGGCCGGGUGUGUAAGCGCAGCGAUGCGUUGAGCUAACCGGUACUAAUGAACCGUGAGGCUUAACCUU
rnacentral:rRNA from 1 species